GUUUCACGCUGUCGUAGGUGGACGUGUGUGUGUUGUGCUUCUUGUUUCAUGCUGAUUACCACAUGGAGGUGGAACCCCUGUAGCUGACCAGAAAGGCCGGGACUGUCAGAUGCCAUACAUGAAUUGAGUAUGGGAUAGAGAGAGAAGUAUUGGGAUUCUAUUGGAGAAUUUGCAUACCCCUGCUUAUGGUAGUCCUCACUAGGCCAACCAAAGCAGGCACACAAUUGUUCUCGUGCUGAGCUGACAGAUUUGUAACUGACACUGUUUACUUAUAAUUCUCAGUAAUUUCACACUACUCACAAUUAUGUUUUACUUUCAGUUCAAGGCCUUCAAACAGAGCUGACCCGGCGGAAGGCCUCUGGUGGCAUACUGUAAUCAAGUGUGCCACUCCCACGGGAUUAUUGCAUUGGCCUUUUGCAUUCAUGCAAUGCUGUCCAGGGCAUCUCACAGGCACCAGCUGCGUGACGAUGCCCCACCCCACUGAUUGUCUUAUGCCAACAGCAUGCGCCCGUAGGGAGCUAUGGACACUAGAAGAUGGACUGUGGACAUGCUAAGGAAUUCUUCAGUAGCUUCAUGGUGCACGGGAGAAGAAACAGCAGACCUGGACGAAGUAAACAAACGGCCCUUGUCAGGGCCACCAUAUGUCUGCCACAAUGGCUAGCGUUCUGCUGAUAGAACAAACCCUGAUGGUGAUAGAAGAUCACUGAACUAACCAUAACUCAAGCAUGAUGGCUACAACAGUGCUGAUAGAAAGCAAUCAUUGCAGUUGCAAAUGCCAUACAUUUCGUUAAGCACUAUAUUUUUGAUGACAGUAAUAUUUAGAGUUGAAGGAGUCAUGUUCUGCCACUUUUUGGAUGGUCAAAGUAUGCAUCACAGAACAUAUUGCUAAGGUGAACAUUAUGUGGAACCGACUAUAACUCCUGUUAUUCAUUGGCACAGAAAAUAUGAAGCAGAAAAUGUCAAGGUUGUUGCGAGAGACCUGUACUAUGUCUUUUGCAAAAGCUAUCACCGUUUCUCGACAAAAGUGACGUGGAGAAUGUACUGGAUGCCUCCAUUUUUCCCCUUUCUCUCCGUACUAUAAAGGUAGUUCUUUUUGUGUAGUCCAAUAAUACGAGAAUUAGAAAAAAGGUCUUUGGGUGUACUUGACAUAAUUGUAUGCCAGUCUAUAUCAUUGAACCCCCGUGGCACUGAGGACAAAACUUUACGAGACAGUAUAUUUGGGUCCGAAGAACGCCAUUGGAGCCACAGGGCACAUUGACUUUAGACCACAUCAUGGAGGGCCACAAGGAAAAGAAAUGACUGUAGUUACCAUAAAACUUUGGUAUAUCAUACAUAACAUUGUACACAAAAACAGGACCGACAUAGUUAUUGUGGAGUAGGAUAGUGGAUAACACAAAAAAUUAACGGGCUUACUAGGCUAACACCAAUAAAUGGGCGGCCUUUCAAGUCGAGUGCUGAAAGUAUGAAAAACUAUUCGACCUUUACAAAGGUUUAGGAGAAUGUUCAGGAGCACUCCAAAUUAUCCAUUUACUUGCUGCCUUAGCUCACAGUUGGAAAAAUAAGUAUGGAAAAUCAAAGAGAAAGAGCUAGCUGGCAUAUUCACAGUGGGUCAUGGCUUCGGGUUUGCUAUGUUGUGUUUAAUGAAAAGUGCAGAAAUUUGGGCCAGUUGGUACAUAACUGCAAAAAGGAAUAAGGGCAUACAGACGGGACAAUGGAGAGACAGAGCUGCUUACAACUAAACUAUAAUGAUAGGAAAUCCGACGCAGUCAUGUGUGCAGGUGCAUUGCUAUCCCACCAUGUCAAAACAACGAGUACAGUGCUAGACAAAUGUUAGAGAACAUGCUCCGGCGCAUUCCUUCCUUAGUGUGACAGUGAAUGGGACCGUACAGACUUAGACAUGAGUGUAUAGGUAGCCCAGUCACCUGUAUGCAAGUCCGUACGAUACCAUUCGCUGCCAGCUUGUCACUCAGAGGGAGGAGUGCGCCAGAGUAUGUUCCAUAAACUUUUGUCCAGCACUUUACAAGUAUAAAACUGAUUAACAAUGUAGAAUGGGCUAGUUGGUAUGACAUCUUAAACUAUGGAGCUGUGGCAGACAAGGACAACACCACUCCACAAUCAACUGGUUUAUUUCUGGAAAAACAGAAAAGGAAGGUUGAACGUUGGGAUUGGGGGUUUUGAGACGACCUGAUUAAAAAGGAACUUUACACCUAGUGGUGAUCUUUUCCUGCUAUCCUUGUCUGCCAUAGCUCCGUAGUCAAGAAGUCUGUACAAGUAUGUCAGACAAGACCCUCAAAAUGACAGUUUAGGCAUGUGCAAACAAAACCACCCUAGUGAUAAGGGGUGACAAAAGUGAAAAAAAUUUCUAUGAUUUGAAUAAAAAUUCAAGUUCCUUA